GUGAACGCUGGCGGUAGGCCUAACCCAUGCAAGUCGCACGGCAGCACAGUAAGAGCUUGCUCUUACGGGUGGCGAGUGGCGGACGGGUGAGGAAUACAUCGGAAUCUACUUUUUCGUGGGGGAUAACGUAGGGAAACUUACGCUAAUACCGCAUACGACCUACGGGUGAAAGCAGGGGAUCUUCGGACCUUGCGCGAUUGAAUGAGCCGAUGUCGGAUUAGCUAGUUGGCGGGGUAAAGGCCCACCAAGGCGACGAUCCGUAGCUGGUCUGAGAGGAUGAUCAGCCACACUGGAACUGAGACACGGUCCAGACUCCUACGGGAGGCAGCAGUGGGGAAUAUUGGACAAUGGGCGCAAGCCUGAUCCAGCCAUACCGCGUGGGUGAAGAAGGCCUUCGGGUUGUAAAGCCCUUUUGUUGGGAAAGAAAAGCAGCAGGUUAAUACCCCGCUGUUCUGACGGUACCCAAAGAAUAAGCACCGGUUAACUUCGUG
rnacentral:rRNA from 1 species